AUUGAACGCUGGCGGCAUGCCUUACACAUGCAAGUCGAACGGCAGCACGGGAGCAAUCCUGGUGGCGAGUGGCGAACGGGUGAGUAAUAUAUCGGAACGUGCCCAGUCGUGGGGAUAACGUAGCGAAAGUUACGCUAAUACCGCAUACGAUCUAAGGAUGAAAGCGGGGGACUCGCAAGAGCCUCGCGCGAUUGGAGCGGCCGAUAUCAGAUUAGGUAGUUGGUGGGGUAAAGGCUCACCAAGCCAACCGAUCUGUAGCUGGUCUGAGAGGACGACCAGCCACACUGGUACUGAGACACGGACCAGACUCCUACGGGAGGCAGCAGUGAGGAAUAUUGGACAAUGGGCGCAAGCCUGAUCCAGCUAUGCCGCGUGCAGGAAUAAGGUCCUAUGGAUUGUAACU
rnacentral:rRNA from 1 species